UGGAGACAGGUGCUGCAUGGCUGUCGUCAGCUCGUGUCGUGAGAUGUUGGGUUAAGUCCCGCAACGAGCGCAACCCUUGUCCUUAGUUGCCAUCAUUUAGUUGGGCACUCUAAGGAGACUGCCGGUGUUAAACCGGAGGAAGGUGGGGAUGACGUCAAGUCCUCAUGGCCCUUAUGUCCAGGGCUACACACGUGCUACAAUGGCCGGUACAAAGGGCAGCUACUUGGUGACAAGAUGCUAAUCUCCAAAACCGGUCUCAGUUCGGAUCGAAGUCUGCAACUCGACUUCGUGAAGCUGGAUUCGCUAGUAAUCGCGCAUCAGCCAUGGCGCGGUGAAUACGUUCCCGGGCCUU
rnacentral:rRNA from 1 species